CGCGGGCCCUGGGAGGGGCGCCCGCAGCCAGCCACGCAGCAUGCACUGGGGGGUUGGCUUUGCCUCGUCCAGGCCGUGCGUGGUGGAUCUGAGCUGGAACCAGAGCGUCUCCUUCUUCGGCUGGUGGGCCGGGUCCGAGGAGCCCUUCUCCUUUUAUGGGGACAUCAUCGCUUUCCCUUUGCAGGAUUGCGGUGGGAUCAUGGCAGGGCUGGGCUCCGAUCCCUGGUGGAAGAAAACCCUUUACUUGACCGGGGGAGCUUUGCUGGCCGCAGCUGCGUAUCUGCUCCACGAACUCCUGGUCAUUAGGAAACAGCAAGAGAUUGACUCCAAAGAUGCUAUUAUUUUGCAUCAGUUUGCAAGACCUAACAAUGGUGUUCCCAGUUUAUCUCCUUUCUGUUUGAAAAUGGAAACUUAUUUAAGGAUGGCAGACUUACCUUAUCAGAACUAUUUUGGUGGAAAACUCUCUGCUCAAGGGAAAAUGCCUUGGAUUGAAUAUAAUCAUGAAAAAGUUUCUGGCACAGAGUUCAUAAUUGACUUCCUGGAAGAGAAGCUUGGAGUGAAUUUAAACAAAAACCUCGGCCCCCAUGAAAGAGCUGUUUCCAGAGCAGUCACCAAGAUGGUGGAGGAGCAUUUUUACUGGACGUUAGCUUAUUGCCAGUGGGUGGACAAUCUCAGUGAGACCCGGAAGAUGCUCUCUCUGAGAGGUGGUGGUCCUUUCAGUAACCUGCUGAGGUGGGUCGUGUGCCACAUAACGAAAGGAAUUGUGAAGCGCGAGAUGCACGGCCACGGCAUUGGCCGCUUCUCGGAGGAGGAGAUUUACAUGCUGAUGGAGAAGGACAUGCGGUCCUUAGCGGGGCUGUUGGGUGACAAGAAGUACAUCAUGGGCCCCAAGCUCUCCACACUCGAUGCCACUGUCUUUGGACACUUGGCACAGGCAAUGUGGACCUUACCUGGGACAAGACCUGAACGGCUGAUCAAAGGGGAGCUGAUCAACCUGGCCAUGUACUGUGAGAGAAUAAGGAGGAAAUUCUGGCCUGAGUGGCAUCAUGAUGACGACAACACCAUCUACGAGUCUGAGGAGAGCAGUGAAGGCAGCAAAACCCACACUCCCCUGCUGGAUUUCAGCUUUUACUCAAGGACAGAGACCUUUGAAGAUGAGGGAGCAGAGAACAGUUUUUCCAGAACCCCAGAUACAGAUUUUACUGGACAUUCACUCUUUGAUUCUGACGUGGACAUGGAUGACUACACAGACCACGAACAGUGCAAGUGACGUUCUGCUCCCCGUCCCCUUCUACCGGAGCUGCCACACCGGGGGCUGGGUCUGGUCUCCCAGGUAGAAACCCAUCCCAUCUGGGAGGAGAUCUUUGUGCUUGGCACAGUUCUCACAAGCUUAACUGGACGAUAGCAGCCUUAUUUCUUUUUUUUGUACAAACAAGACACAGAACUGUUCAUUCAUAUGGCUCCAUUUAAAACCAACAGGCAAAAAACAACAACCACAAAAAGUCAGCAUGGUUCCUGAAAUCCAUUUUUGUUUUCUUUAGAAAACUAAUAUUUUGAGGUGGAGCUGGUAAAAGAGCUGGUUUUCCACAGAAUGUUCAUGGUAAUCUUCAGCCUGAAGGUUUAGUUACAAGGUAGAUUCUUGAACAUUCCUCAUCCACCAAGGAUGAAGUUAUUUUUAUUGCACCUGACUCUGACCCAGGAUCCUUUGUUCUCCUUUUCAGUGCAAUUUAUUGAACAAGAACAGAUGAAAGUACAUUUAAUGACAAAUACUUCCGAUUCUAAAUGCUGAAAUCUGGCAAUCCAUUUCUAACAGGUCCAAGGAUCAACUGCAAGUGAUCAUGGGGUGUUUGACUUUAAUUCAUUUGCUUCCAGUGGUCUGGAUGAAGCUUGAAACUUUAAAAGAUUCUCCUUGCACAGGUGUAAGGUGCCUGUCAUCUGCAUCCUGCUAGUACUGUGGAUAAAUGCAAAAAGUACGGAUUUUUUUUUUCAUUUGAAUUCCUCACUAGAGACUUAGGUUUUUGUCCCAGGAUUUAAAGAAUAUCUAGAAGCAGAAACACAUUGGCUUUGCUUCUGCAGAGAAUACUAAAAAAAUAACUUAAAGGAAAGGCACUCAACUGUUUGGGGACUGGUGGUGGGACCUCCUCAACUAUUUUGAUUCUUGUUGAAGCAGAGAACUCUUCCCGAGACAAAUGUUCUCUGAAACUUCUGCUGCUGUGGCUAGCCUAACAAAUUUGGGUCUUCAUAUUUCAACAGCAUUAUUGCCCCAAAUGGUUACAUUUGUAGGCAAAUAAAUAAAGGGGACCAGGCAAUAAGAAUCUAUGGAUAUUGUCUGGCCAGCACCAAACACUCCUGCUUAUUGCAGUGGGGAAAUAAGUUAUUUAGAGCAAAAGGUUGAUAAUGUACUUUGGUGUUCUCUACACAAAUAACAUCAUCAAUGAACUUGAAGGCCUUGAAUUUUUGAAAGUUGCAGUCAUCCCUAAUUACAGUUUUAAAUAUUUUGAAGCAAUCCAUUAACUCUGAAGUUGUAUAUACUUAGGGUUAAUUUUAUUAAAAAUAGCAUCACUAAAUGGGACAAGUUUCCUUCCCAUGCCCUGUUGGGAAAACUUUGCCAAUGGGAAAGCCUAUUUAAAUGCUUUGCAGCUCUGCAAUACAGAGUAAUUUUCAUUUCUCAAAAAUAUUGAAAGCUUUUCCCUUCUUGAAUACUUAAAAAAAAUUGUCCCAUGACUUAAAAAGCUAGAAUCCAGGUCCUAGAUUAUUAUGUUCUUGAGCAGUGGCUAAACAGCAGAGGGAAGGUAAUUGUUCAUUGGAGGACAUGGAAAGAGAAAGCCUUAGAGAUUUAUUCCCUCUUUAAAAAUCCAUGAACUUUUCCCUUUAAUAGUUUUUCAGUAUUGGAAGUGUUCUCAGAUAUUUAUUUCUAUUCCCCCCUCAGUUUAUUAAAACAUAGCUAUAUAUUACUAACAGUUUACUCAUACAUAAACUAUAUUCAAAUGUUUGUAUUUUCACCUUUAACAAAUUACAUCUGAAGCAAUAAGAGUGUUCAACAUUUUUGAGGAAUCUGCUUCAGGAGGGGUGACAAAUUUGUCCAAAUGAUUUUACCUCAAGUAAUCAGUCUCCUGAGACCAUGCUUACUGCAAACAUGUUUUGCCAGCAACCUGCGUUAUGCAUGUGACAAUUCAGAUAUUUGUCCGUGGCGAUGGACAGAUGAGGGUCCUUCACCUGGUGGUCUUUGAGAUUGCCAAAUGGGAGGAAAGAUGGGAGAAGUAGCAGACACUGGGGUGAGCUGAGUCACACACACACUGCUACACUGAUUCAUUAUGUACAUUAAAAACAAACAGGAAGGUAGACGUUUACCGAGCCCCUGACUCAGCAGAGUUUAGAGAAUGAGGUCAGGGGACUUAGAAGUAGCAUCUAGAAGGUUGCACUUGAUUAAAGGAUAUGUUUCCAAUGUUUGUGGCAAAGUGGAUGUAAAAUAGGCAUGGGUGCAUGAUUUUAGGUCAAGGUAUUUAUUCUAAAAUGGGAAAAGAAGAGUGAAUAAUUAAAUGCCACCACUAUAAGAAUUCUUUUUGUUUUGAGGACCACUUGACUUGAUUUAGAAUGUCUUGAAAAUUCCCGAAAGAUUUCACAGUCCACUGAGUUAAGCAAAACAAGAAGGUGGGGGAAACAAAUUCUGCAGAUGGAGGAUAGUGGGUUUUGAUAAUUCAUGGUAAUCAUCUCGUCACUGGUUAUGUGUGCGGCUUCUAUUUGUAACUUCAUGUCUCUCAGUGUGUGGAAGAAGUACAGAUUUAUUUUUAGAUGUCUGAGAGUGGAAGGACCAAUGUUGAGAUAAUGUGAACCCAUGUUAAAGCUGCUUGGGAGUGGCUGGGUGGACACUGCUGGAGACACUGACCUGCACCCUGGUUGGCAAACGGUGACCAGCAUCUUGCUGACCGAGGGCCUCAUAUGGAGGCGGCAUUCCAGUUUUUAUUUCUGGACCUAUGAGUUACUUUAGCACAGUUAUUGUUAGUAGUUUAUAAAGCCAUACUUAAACUUGUACACUUGACUGUAAGAUAGAUUUGAAUUGUGCACUAUGUUGAUUACUGUAUAUAAUUGUGGAAAUCUGUAUAUUUGGUCUUAAUGCUGUAUGUCUUUGAUGUGUAAAUGAUAACUAAUGGAUAUGAAAUAGCUUGCAGUCAAUGUCUUUAUUCCAAUUCGCUUCUCUUUUGCAAAUGUGAAUGUUUAAAUUUUACAUACAUGGGGAAAAUCUGAAAAUUCUGCAUCUCAUAUACUGUAAAGCAGUGGUCUCUUAGAUGAUUUUAGUUGUAAGGCUCUUGUAUAAUUAGAACAGAGAUAUUGAAUUUUUUAGGCCUAGCCUAUCAUUCUCUGAUAGAACUUCAAAUGAAUGUUUUUUAAGUAAAAAAACCAGUUCUCUGAAAUAUGCUGCCCUGCCCUCUCCUCCUUUACUUUAUGCCAGUGUGCCCCUAGUGCCUGAGUGCUCCCAUUGAGUACACCAUAAACAUUGUGAGAGGUGAUACCCUUUGGCCAGGGGAGGGCACCUACCCUGUAGGUAGGCCUGACAGUAGGCCAGGUUGCCCUUUU